rnacentral:rRNA from 1 species
UACGUAGGGUGCAAGCGUUGUCCGGAAUUAUUGGGCGUAAAGAGCUCGUAGGCGGUUCGUCGCGUCGGCUGUGAAAUCCCGGAGCUCAACUCCGGGUCUGCAGUCGAUACGGGCGGACUCGAGUUCGGCAGGGGAGACGUGGAAUUCCUGGUGUAGCGGUGAAAUGCGCAGAUAUCAGGAGGAACACCGGUGGCGAAGGCGGGUCUCUGGGCCGAUACUGACGCUGAGGAGCGAAAGCGUGGGGAGCGAACAGG